GAGAAAGUUUCUCAAAGUGUUGUUGAUGUAAUAAAAAUAAACAUUAAAUUCAUGUGUUCUCAAUUCUCAACAAUUAUAAUUAAGCACUAAAUGUUUAUUUAUGCAACUAACAGUGAGAUUUCUUGAAAAUGAAUUAAAUUCUGCUAUAGUCGAGCUUGCAAAAUUCUAUGGAUUAAGUCGAUUAAGUAAACAAGACAAAAAAAAUGAAAUCAGAAUUGGAUUUCUACCUCUUGCACCAUAGAAUCUUUCUUGUGAAAAAUUUUUACCAAUGUAACGGAGAUUAUUUUGUUGUUAAAACCAAAUAUGAGACCAACUACAAGGACAGAAAUGACUCCCCAAAGUUCUCCUGCGACGUCUUGAUCGAGAUAGUUAACCUCUUUGAGAAAACUGGAAGUGUAUUCAAGCCUCCGGAAAACACUGUUCAGACAGCUUGUGGACAAAUCGAGCAGGUAUACAUAAAAACGGAGAAUCCGGAUGAAGAAUAUGAAGACAAUACUGAAGUACAUUGCCCAGAGGAAUUUGGCUUGGACCCUCCCGAAAUUGGAGAGAAUAACGUCACUCAUAUCAGGGACGUAACUCAAGUACAAAACGGCUCAACUGAUUCUAAUACCUCGAAUGAUAGUUACGAGCAAUUCCCACCAAUCCAGGAAUUUAAAAGCGAGAUAGUUGAUGAAGAACCUGAAGAAUUACCCGAGCUGUGCUUUUUAUGCAAAAAACGUUUGAAACGCAAUCACACGGAGACGGAGCAUCAUGAUCCAGAAGAAGAGUUCAGCGAUGGGUCAUCAUCAAAAUGCGAAGGACCAAAACCAGCAAAAGUUCCUAAAAAGGACACAGGGAAAAACGAAGUCAAAGGCAAAAAACGCAGCACUACGGAUGAAUCAGUCAUGCAGACAGCUCUUCAGGCAAUUCUUCAAGGCAGACUUAGAAUUAGGGAAGCUGCCGAAGUCUUCGGAAUCCCAAUACCCACAUUAUAUUCAAGAUUGAAAAAAGUAAAAACAGAACUACCAGAGUCGCAGAAUGUAUCGCUGAUGAUGGGGUUAAAAAAGAAGGAAAUGGUGAAUAAAUUUGCAUCACAGCAAAUUUUCACAAUGCCACAAGAGGGAAAUCUUGUUACAAAUAUGUUGGAAUUCUCCAAACUCAAUUUUGGCCUCACUUUACACGUAGUACGGGAACUGGCUUACCAGUAUGCCGUCAGCAUUAAUCAAAAGAUUCCAACAAGUUGGGAGACCAACAAGAGAGCUGGAAAACGGUGGGCUAGAUCUUUUUUAAAAAGACACGGAGAAAUUACAAUUCCGGAAGCCACUUUACAAAGAAAAAACACCUUCACUCGGGAAAACGUGGAAAUGUUCUUUAAAAAUCUGAAAGAUAUCAGGAUACAACAUUAUUUUGAGCCUUCUAGAAUUUUCAGUCUCGAUGAAACGGAAAUGAGUACUGUACCUCAAAUAUUUGUGGGAAAAUCAAAGGAAGCAGGGAAAUGUGUUACAACGGAAAGGGGAGAAACUGUUACGAUUUAUGCAUUUGUUAAUGCGGCGGGACAAUCACUUCCUCCAGUUUACUUAUUUUCUAGAAGAAGAAAUAGUCCUGCGUACAUGGAAGGUUGUAUUGAGGAAUCUGUUGCUUUUUGUAAUGGAACAGGCUCGAUGGACGCAGAUACCUUUUUGAAAACUCUUGAGCAUUUGAAAACUCAGACUGCUGCAUCCAAAGAUGAUCAAAUAUUAUUGAUCUUCCAUAACCAUGUCUUAUCGCACUUGUCUGUAGACGCCAUGAUAUUCUGUAAAGAAAACGGAAUACAUAUCUUGGCUCUGCCAUUGCACACAAUCCAUCGUACAAAGCCGUUUGAUCUAUCAGUAUUUUCAUCAUUUGAAACGUAUUGUGCGAGUGCAUUUGAUGCUUGGAUGUCAGCAAAAGCAGGGAAUCGAGUUAAAAUUCACAACAUUGCAAGACUCUCUGUAGAACCAUUCCAAAAAUGCAUGACUUCCGAAAAUAUCAAAGGUACCUUUAUGAAGAUUGGUAUAUACCCGAUGGACAGCUCCAAACUACUCUCAUUCUUUGAGACAACUGAAUCUGCUUUCCCAUCGACGAUAGACUCUUGCACAGUAUUGGAGGAAAAUCCCGAAGAAAUAUUAACAUCACCAUUUGCAACGGCAAUGAAUGCCACAGCUACAAAUUUUCAAGAGGAAAACACGGAAGAGAUGAUUUCUCAAAAUAAGAUUUGAUAAGAAAAAUUCUAGUAGAAAUAUUACAAUAAAGUGAUUUUAAGCUUUCAUACAAACUAUAUUUAAGCAAGUCGAUUGUAGUUUUAUUUAAAUAAACAUUGAUAGGCAAAUUUUGUAUUCGGUGAAACUUUUACGAUGAAAUUUAGCGUCCGAAUUUGGAAACGUUAAUGUUAUACGAAUUUAAAGACUGGUUGACUGAACCUUCGGAUAAUUCGUCACUAGAAUUUUCAUUUUCGUCAGUUGAAGAUCUAAGGGGCCUUGACAGACAUGAGGAUUAGCCUAGAGACGGCUUAGCGUAAUUAUAUUAGAAAUAAUUGUUAAAGUGCAUUUCCAUCCCACUAAGUCACCUCUCGGCUUAAGUCGUAAGUGUGUCUAGGGCAUAACGAAAAUAUCAAAGGUACCUUUAUGAAGACCGGUAUAUACCCGAUGGACGACACCAAACUACUCUCAUUCUUCGAAACAACUGAAGGCACUUCUUCUCUCAUAGAUAAAAGACUCUUGUGCGGUUUUGGAUGAAAAACCUUAAGCGAAAACAAAAUGCCGAUGUCACGAUUUCCAACGAUAAUGCAUAGCGUAGCUGUAUUUUUUUAAGCGGAAAACAUGGAAGUGUCUAUGUCCUCAAGAUAGGAUUUCAUGAAAAUAUAUUACCUAAAAUUAAAGGGGUGAUUUUAUAUUUGAACGAUUUAAACCCUUGUACAAAUAAGUUGGAUUUGAUAAAUUAUUAAUAUAAUUUAAAUUGUUUAAAUUGGUACGGGGCUAGGUGAGGUGGGUCUACUUUGUGGUCGGUCUAGGCCGUCUAGGCCUAAACCAAAACCGAUAUUGCAGUCAUGUAAUUAAUAGACAAAAUCAUUAAGGAACUAAAUAAAAUGUAAAUAAUAAAAUAAUUCAUUUUUUAGAUUAUGCGAAAAAUCGUAGUUCAGUGUAGCCCCACAGCUCAACAUAGCCCCACCUUCCCCUAUAUACAUUUAAUAACUUUUUUAAUAAUGAAAAUAAUAGGAAAAAUUUGUUCAUUUUAAAAAUGAAUUAAAAAUUUCCUUGUUGUCAUUUUAAAAAAUAGAUUUGUCAAAAUAAAUAAAUAUUUCAGAGGAAAAUUCGUAGUCAACAUUUUUAAGCACCAAAAAAUUGAAUAGGCUUUUAUAAAAUUUUCUUUCGAUAAUAAACAUAACCUCAAAUUGAGAAAGUUUGUUGAUGUAUCAAAAGUAUCAAAACAAUAAAUUGAGUUCAAAUAUAAGAUUUUUCUUAUUAAAGAUGCAACAAAAAUUAUAUUUCCUGUGAAGAUCAAUAAAUUUGAGCAGUCAGGCUUGCAAAAUUAUAUAGAUUAAGUGAACAAGACAAAGAAAAAAUGAAAUCAGAAUUGGACUUCUUUCUCCUGCAUCAUAGAGUAUUUCUCGUGAAAAAUUUUUACCAAUCUAACGGAGAUUAUUAUUGCGUAAAGACAAAAUAUGAGACCAACUACAAGGACAGAAAUGACUCCCCAAAAUUCUCAUGUGAUGUCUUGAUCGAGGUAGUUAAUCUCUUUGAGGAAACUGGAAGUGUAUUCAAGCCUCCGGAAAACACUGUUCAGACAGCUUGUGGACAAAUCGAGCAGGUUUACAUAAAAACAGAGAACCCGGACGAAGAAUAUGAAGACAACCCUGAAGUACAUUGCCCAGUGGAAUGCGUCUUCGACCCUCCUGAAAUUGAAGACGACAACAACGUCACUCAUAUCAGGGACGUAACUCAAGUACAAAGCAACUCAUCUGACUCUAAUACCUGGAGUAAUAAUCACGAGCAAUUCCCACUUAUCCAGAAAUUUAAAACCGAGAUAGUUGAUGAAGAACCUGAAGAACUGCCCGAAUUGUACGAUUCAUGGGAUUACACGAAUGAUCCUAAUUGCAAAACAACUUUGAAUAGGAAUCAUACGGAGCAUCAUGAUCCAGGUGAAGAGUUUAGCGAUGGGUCAUUAUCAAAAUACGAAGGACCAAAACAAGCAAAAGUUUCUAAAAAGAAUACGGGGAAAACCGAAGGCAAAGGCAAGAGAUAUAGAAUUAUAAAUGAGGCAGUCAUGCAGGCAGCUCUUCAGGAAAUUCUCCAAGACAAGAUUAAUCUCAACAGCGCUGCCACAGUCUUCGGAAUCCCGAAGAGCACAUUAUUUACAAGAUUAAAAAUUGUGAAAAAAGAACUAUCGGAGUCGCAAAAUGUAUCGCUGAUGAUGGGAUUAAAGAAUAAGGAAAUGGUGAACAAAUUUGCAUCAGGGCAAAUUUUCACAAUGGCACAAGAGGACAAUCUUGUUGCCCGUCUGUUGGAAGUCUCCAAGCUCAAUUGUGGCCUCACUUUACACGUAACCCGGGAAGUCGCCUACCAAUAUGCCAUCAGCAUUGGACAGACGGUUCCAAAAAGUUGGGAGGCCAACAAGAUAGCUGGAAGAGCAUGGGCUAAAAGCUUUUUAAAAAGACACAAAGAAAUUACUACAAUUCGAGGAUCAGAAGCCGCUUCUUUAUUGAGUAAAACACAGCUUUAGUCGAGAAAAUAUGGAAAUGUUCUUUAAAAAUCUGAAAGACAUCAGGAUACAACAUUAUUUUGAGCCAUCUAGAAUUUUCAGUCUCGAUGAAACGGAAAUUAGUACUGUUCUGAAACCACCAAACGUAGUGUCUACCAGAAAAUCAGAGGAAGUAGGGAAAUGUGUUACAACGGAAAGGGGAGAAACCGAGAAACUGUUACGAUUUGCGCAUUUGUUAAUGCGGCCGGACAAUCAUUUCCUCCAGUUUACUUAUUUCCUAGAAAAAGAUAUAGUCCUGCGUACAUGGAAGGUUGUAUUGAGGAAUCUGUUGCUUUUUGUAAUGGAACAGGCUCGAUGGACGCAGAUACCUUUUUGAAAACUCUUGAACAUUUGAAAACUCAGACUGCUGCAUCUAAGGAUGAUCAAAUAUUAUUGAUCUUCGAUUACCCGAAUCUCAUCUCACUUGUCUCUGGACGCUAUGACAUUCUGCAAAGAAAACGGAAUACAUAUCUUGGCUCUGCCAUUGCACACAAUCCAUCGUACGAAGCCGUUUGAUCUAUCAGUAUUUUCUUCAUUUGAAACGUAUUGUGCGAGUGCAUUUGAUGCUUGGAUGUCAACAAACAGGGAAUCGAGUUAAAAUUCAAAACAUUGCAAGACUAUCUGUAGAACCACUCCAAAAAUGCAUGACUUCCGAAAAUAUCAAA